rnacentral:pre_miRNA from 1 species
UCGAUUUGCAUCAUUUUUGCGUGCAAUGAUCCCGAAUUUGCUCUCUUACUCAACUUUCUUUUUAAUUUACAAAUAUUCAUGUUUAUUGGUUUGAAAAAUAGAAAAAAAAAUUCUAAUUUUUGUUAACGGGGAUCUGGAUCAUUCACGCAAAAAUGAUUUGACUCGUGAGUUGGC